CUCCCUAAUUGUCCACGCGUCGUCUGAUUUAUAACACUAGCCGACCACUUUUCUUAUUCAUACUUUCAAUUAUUAAGAUAUUCCCUUCGGGAAACGACACUCUGCCUCGGAAUAGGACUGAUCCACAGAUGACGACCCAUGCAAGGAAAAGGACAACGAAAAGGACAAC
rnacentral:lncRNA from 1 species